rnacentral:rRNA from 1 species
UGGGGAAUUUUGGACAAUGGGCGAAAGCCUGAUCCAGCAAUGCCGCGUGUGUGAAGAAGGCCUUCGGGUUGUAAAGCACUUUUGUCCGGAAAGAAAUCCUUGGCUCUAAUACAGUCGGGGGAUGACGGUACCGGAAGAAUAAGCACCGGCUAACUACGUGCCAGCAGCCGCGGUAAUACGUAGGGUGCAAGCGUUAAUCGGAAUUACUGGGCGUAAAGCGUGCGCAGGCGGUUUGCUAAGACCGAUGUGAAGUCCCCGGGCUCAACCUGGGAACUGCAUUGGUGACUGGCAGGCUAGAGUAGGGCAGAGGGGGGUAGAAUUCCACGUGUAGCAGUGAAAUGCGUAGAGAUGUGGAGGAAUACCGAUGGCGAAGGCAGCCCCCUGGGCCAAUACUGACGCUCAUGCACGAAAGCGUGGGGAGCAAACAGGAUUAGAUACCCUGGUAGUCCACGCCCUAAACGAUGUCAACUAGUUGUUGGGGAUUCAUUUCCUUAGUAACGUAGCUAACGCGUGAAGUUGACCGCCUGGGGAGUACGGUCGCAAGAUUAAAACUCAAAGGAAUUGACGGGGUCAUAGCUGUUUCCU